rnacentral:SRP_RNA from 1 species
GCUGGGCAUGGUGGUGCAUGCCUGUAAUCUCAGCUACUUGGGAGGCUGAGGCAGGAGAAUCGCUUGAACCCAGGAGGCAGAGGUUGCAGUGAGCUGAGAUCGUGCCAUUGCACUCCAGCCUGGGUGACAAAAGCGAGACUCUGUCUCGA